rnacentral:rRNA from 1 species
UACAGAGAGUGCAAACGAUGUUCGGAAUUACUGGGCUUAAAGCGCACGUAGGCGGCGCCGCAAGUGUGGGGUGAAAGCCCACGGCUUACCCGUGGAAUUGCCUGGCAGACUGCGGUGCUAGAGGAUGGUAGGGGAGAGCGGAACUCCUGGUGGAGCGGUGAAAUGCGUAGAGAUCAGGAGGAACACCGGUGGCGAAGGCGGCUCUCUGGUCCAUUUCUGACGCUGAGGUGCGAAAGCUAGGGGAGCAAACGGG